AGCGAACGCUGGCGGCAGGCUUAACACAUGCAAGUCGAGCGGGCCCUUCGGGGUCAGCGGCAGACGGGUGAGUAACACGUGGGAACGUACCCUUUGGUUCGGAAUAACGCUGGGAAACUAGCGCUAAUACCGGAUACGCCCUUUUGGGGAAAGGCUUGCUGCCGAAGGAUCGGCCCGCGUCUGAUUAGCUAGUUGGUGGGGUAAUGGCCUACCAAGGCGACGAUCAGUAGCUGGUCUGAGAGGAUGAUCAGCCACACUGGGACUGAGACACGGCCCAGACUCCUACGGGAGGCAGCAGUGGGGAAUAUUGGACAAUGGGCGCAAGCCCGAUCCAGCCAUGCCGCGUGAGUGAUGAAGGCCUUAGGGUUGUAAAGCUCUUUUGUCCGGGACGAUAAUGACGGUACCGGAAGAAUAAGCCCCGGCUAACUUCGUG
rnacentral:rRNA from 1 species